rnacentral:rRNA from 1 species
AUUGAACGCUGGCGGCAUGCCUUACACAUGCAAGUCGAACGGUAACGCGGGGCAACCUGGCGACGAGUGGCGAACGGGUGAGUAAUGUAUCGGAACGUGCCCAGUUGUGGGGGAUAACUGCUCGAAAGAGCAGCUAAUACCGCAUACGACCUGAGGGUGAAAGCGGGGGAUCGCAAGACCUCGCGCAAUUGGAGCGGCCGAUAUCAGAUUAGGUAGGUGGAGGGGUAAAGGCUCACCAAGCCAACGAUCUGUAGCUGGUCUGAGAGGACGACCAGCCACACUGGGACUGAGACACGGCCCAGACUCCUACGGGAGGCAGCAGUGGGGAAUUUUGGACAAUGGACGCAAGUCUGAUCCAGCCAUGCCGCGUGCGGGAAGAAGGCCUUCGGGUUGUAAACCGCUUUUGUCAGGGAAGAAACGCUCUGGGUUAAUACCUCGGGGUAAUGACGGUACCUGAAGAAUAAGCACCGGCUAACUACGUGCCAGCAGCCGCCGUAACAC